UUUCCGUAGGUGAACCUGCGGAAGGAUCAUUAUUGUAUAACCAAGGUGCGAGGCCUGUGGCUGACCCGAAAGUUCGUGCACGCCGGAGUGCACUCACACACAUCCAUCUCACCCCUAUCUGCACCACCGGGUGGGUCCCCCGCUGGCUUGUUCGCAGGGGGGCUGACGUUUCCACACGAGCUUUGUUUGCUGGGUAGAAUGGAAUUUUGUUUUUGCGAUGACGGAAUGAAUACAACUUUGAACAACGGAUCGCCUCGCUCUCGCAACGGUGAAGAACGC
rnacentral:misc_RNA from 1 species